AGAACUUGGCAGAGAUGCCUUGGUGCCUUCGGGAACUCUGAGACAGGUGCUGCAUGGCUGUCGUCAGCUCGUGUUGUGAAAUGUUGGGUUAAGUCCCGCAACGAGCGCAACCCUUAUCCUUUGUUGCCAGCGGGUCAUGCCGGGAACUCAAAGGAGACUGCCAGUGAUAAACUGGAGGAAGGUGGGGAUGACGUCAAGUCAUCAUGGCCCUUACGAGUAGGGCUACACACGUGCUACAAUGGCGCAUACAAAGAGAAGCGACCUCGCGAGAGCAAGCGGACCUCAUAAAGUGCGUCGUAGUCCGGAUUGGAGUCUGCAACUCGACUCCAUGAAGUCGGAAUCGCUAGUAAUCGUAGAUCAGAAUGCUACGGUGAAUACGUUCCCGGGCCUUGUACACACCGCCCGUCACACCAUGGGAGUGGGUUGCAAAAGAAGUAGGUAGCUUAACCUUCGGGAGGGCGCUUACCACUUUGUGAUUCAUGACUGGGGUGAAGUCGUAACAAGGUAGGCGUACGUGU
rnacentral:rRNA from 1 species